GACGAACGCUGGCGGCGUGCCUAAUACAUGCAAGUCGAACGAACCGCGACCGAGUGCUUGCACUUGAUCAAGGUGAGUGGCGAACGGGUGAGUAACACGUGGGUAACCUACCCCAUAGUGGGGGAUAACAGUCGGAAACGACUGCUAAUACCGCAUAGGACAUGGAAUCACAUGAUUCAGUGAGGAAAGGUGGCGCAAGCUAUCGCUAAGAGAUGGACCCGCGGUGCAUUAGCUAGUUGGUAGGGUAAAGGCCUACCAAGGCCAUGAUGCAUAGCCGACCUGAGAGGGUGAUCGGCCACAUUGGGACUGAGACACGGCCCAAACUCCUACGGGAGGCAGCAGUAGGGAAUCUUCCGCAAUGGACGCAAGUCUGACGGAGCAACGCCGCGUGAGUGAAGAAGGUCUUCGGAUCGUAAAGCUCUGUUGUUAGAGAAGAACAGCGCAUAGAGUAACUGUUAUGCGUGUGACGGUAUCUAACCAGAAAGCCACGGCUAACUACGUGCCAGCCGCCGCGGUAAGAC
rnacentral:rRNA from 1 species